AAUUUAAAAUUCAAAAGUCCAGGAAGUCCAGGACGAGGCGAAAUAUGUAAUUAGCUCUGGCUUCGGCGUAUCGCCGGCGGUGCCGUGGACCGCUUGUCGCCAACGCGUCCUCUGCUCUCGCCGUGGCCGACCGCAGUACUAGUCGCGCUGCUCCUCUCGCUCUUCUUCUCCCUCCGCGUUCCGCGGCCAGAUCUUGCUUCACAUCUUGGUGCCAAAUCCCACGAGGGUCAGCGGUUCCGCGCUCGUGCCAGAUCGGUCCGAGAUCCCACUAUUCUUUGUAGUGAUCAAAUCGUGAUGUUGGGAGAUCCAUCGUUCCAGAAAUCAAUUGGGAGCAUGGCUGCGAGGAAACCCGGCGUCAUCGCGUUGUUCGACGUCGAUGGAACGCUCACCGCCCCGCGGAAGCUGAUCACGCCGCAAAUGCUGGAGUUCAUGCGGGAACUCAGGGAGGUUGUAACUGUAGGUGUUGUUGGAGGAUCGGACCUUGUUAAGAUAACAGAGCAACUUGGAAAAACAGUUGUACACGACUAUGAUUAUGUAUUCUCAGAAAAUGGCCUUCUUGCUCACAAAAAUGGGGAACUAAUUGGUCGACAGAGUUUGAAGUCAUUUCUUGGUGAAGAUAAACUAAAGGAAUUCAUCAAUUUUACCCUCCAUUACAUUGCCGACUUGGAUAUCCCAAUAAAAAGGGGGACAUUUAUUGAGUUCCGUAGUGGAAUGCUUAAUGUCUCUCCAAUAGGGCGGAAUUGCAGCCAAGAAGAGCGCUAUGAAUUUGAAAAAUAUGAUAAGGUUCACAACAUACGGCCAAAGAUGGUCUCUGUGCUACGUGAAAAGUUUGCACAUAUGGAUCUGACUUUUUCAAUUGGUGGACAAAUAAGUUUUGAUGUUAGUUCUUAUAUAUAUAUAUAUAUGUUUUCCCACGAGGCUGGGACAAGACUUACAGUUUAAAAUACCUUGGUGAAUUUCAAGAAAUCCACUUUUUUGGUGACAAAACCUACAAGGGGGGAAAUGACUAUGAAAUUUAUGAAUCGAAACGAACUGUUGGUCAUACAGUAACAAGUCCAGAUGAUACAGCAGCACAGUGCAGAUCUCUCUUUCUGGGAAAUUAAUCGAUGAGCUUAUAGCAAGAAGUUUCAUAUUGUUCAAUUUAAUAUUGUAUUCAAUGAGCUUAUGGCAACAAAGUUUUAACCAUUUCAACGACUGUAUUUGUAUUUCCAUCUAUGAGGAUAAUUAUUGUGUACCAAAUAAAGCCUUCAAAAUAAAUAAAGUAUGACCUUCAGA